rnacentral:rRNA from 1 species
CCUACGGGUGGCAGCAGUGGGGAAUAUUGCACAAUGGGGGAAACUCUGAUGCAGCGACGCCGCGUGAGUGAAGAAGUAAUUCGUUAUGUAAAGCUCUAUCAGCAGGGAAGAACAUGACUGUACCUGAGUAAGAAGCCCCUGCUAACUACGUGCCAGCAGCCGCGGUCAUACGUAGGGGGAAAGCGUUAUCCGGAUUUACUGGGUGUAAAGGGAGCGGAGACGGCAGUGCAAGUCUGGAGUGAAAGGCGGGGCCUCAAACCCCGGACUGCACGGGAAACUGUACGGCUGGAGGGCAGGAGAGGUAAGUGGAAUUCCGAGUGUAGCGGUGAAAUGCGUAGAUAUUAGGAGGAACACCAGUGGCGAAGGCGGCUUACUGGACUGUAACUGACGUUGAGGCUCGAAAGCGUGGGGAGCAAACAGGAUUAGAUACCCCAGUAGUC